CGAACGCUGGCGGCAGGCCUAACACAUGCAAGUCGAGCGCGCCCUUCGGGGUGAGCGGCGGACGGGUUAGUAACGCGUGGGAAUAUACCCGACACUAAGGAAUAGCCUCUGGAAACGGAGAGUAAUACCUUAUACGCCCUUCGGGGGAAAGAUUUAUCGGUGACGGAUUAGCCCGCGUUAGAUUAGAUAGUUGGUGGGGUAAUGGCCUACCAAGUCUACGAUCUAUAGCUGGUUUUAGAGGAUGAUCAGCAACACUGGGACUGAGACACGGCCCAGACUCCUACGGGAGGCAGCAGUGGGGAAUCUUGGACAAUGGGCGCAAGCCUGAUCCAGCCAUGCCGCGUGAGUGAUGAAGGCCUUAGGGUCGUAAAGCUCUUUCGCCAGAGAUGAUAAUGACAGUAUCUGGUAAAGAAACCCCGGCUAACUCCGUGCCAGCAGCCGCGGUAAUACGGAGGGGGUUAGCGUUGUUCGGAAUUACUGGGCGUAAAGCGCGCGUAGGCGGAUUAGUAAGUUAGAGGUGAAAUCCCGGGGCUCAACCCCGGAACUGCCUUUAAUACUGCUAGUCUUGAGUUCGAGAGAGGUGAGUGGAAUUCCGAGUGUAGAGGUGAAUUUCGUAAAUAUUCGGAGGAAUACCAGUGGCGAAGGCGGCUCACUGGCUCGAUACUGAC
rnacentral:rRNA from 1 species